UACAGAGGGGGCAAGCGUUGUUCGGAAUUACUGGGCGUAAAGGGCGCGUAGGCGGCCUGUUAAGUCGAACGUGAAAUCCCCGGGCUCAACCCGGGAACUGCGUCCGAUACUGGCAGGCUUGAAUCCGGGAGAGGGAUGCGGAAUUCCAGGUGUAGCGGUGAAAUGCGUAGAUAUCUGGAGGAACACCGGUGGCGAAGGCGGUCUGCUGGGCAGUAGCUGACACUGAGGCGCGACAGCGUGGGGAGCAAACAGG
rnacentral:rRNA from 1 species